UGAUGGGAAUGAGGUGGGAAUGAGGUGGGAAUGAGGUGGGAAUUCGGGAUAAUGGGGAGCCGGAUUGCUGCGGGGAGACGGGAAUGAGGCGGGAAUUCGGGAUAAAGGGGGGUGAGGAGAGGGAUUGAUGGGAAUGAGGUGGGAAUUCGGGAUAAUGGGGAGCCGGAUUGCUGCGGGGAGACGGGAAUGAGGCGGGAAUUCGGGAUAAAGGGGGGUGAGGAGAGGGAUUGAUGGGAAUGAGGUGGGAAUUCGGGAUAACAGGGGGCUGAGGGGAG